rnacentral:rRNA from 1 species
UGCAAGUCGAACGAAGUAGCAAUACUUAGUGGCAGACGGGUGAGUAACAUGUAGGUAUCUUCCCUUUGGUGAGGAAUAACACGAGGAAACUUGUGCUAAUACCUCAUAAGUCUUUACGGAGAAAGCUUUAUGCGCCAAUGGAUGAGCCUGCACUUGAUUAGUUUGUUGGUGAGGUAAUGGCUCACCAAGACAAUGAUCAAUAGCUGAUUUGAGAGGAUGAUCAGCCACAUUGGGACUGAGACACGGCCCRAACUCCUACGGGAGGCAGCAGUAGGGAAUCUUGCACAAUGGGGGAAACCCUGAUGCAGCGAUGCCGCGUGAGUGAAGAAGGCCCUUGGGUUGUAAAGCUCUUUCGUCGGGGAAGAAAAUGACUGUACCYGAAUAAGAAGGUCCGGCUAACUUCGUGCCAGCAGCCGCGGUAAUACGAAGGGACCUAGCGUAGUUCGGAAUUACUGGGCUUAAAGAGUUCGUAGGUGGUUAAAAAAGUUGGUGGUGAAAUCCCAGAGCUUAACUCUGGARCUGCCAUCAAAACUUUUUAGCUAGAGUAUGAUAGAGGAAAGCAGAAUUUCUAGUGUAGAGGUGAAAUUCGUAGAUAUUAGAAAGAAUACCAAUUGCGAAGGCAGCUUUCUGGAUCAUUACUGACACUGAGGAACGAAAGCAUGGGUAGCGAAGAGGAUUAGAUACCCUCGUAGUCCAUGCCGUAAACGAUGUGUGUUAGACGUUGGAAAUUUAUUUUCUGUGUCGCAGCGAAAGCAAUAAACACACCGCCUGGGGAGUACGACCGCAAGGUUAAAACUCAAAUGAAUUGACGGGGACCCGCACAAGUAGUGGAGCAUGUGGUUUAAUUCGAAGA